CCUGAGAAACGGCUACCACAUCNNNNNNNNNNNNNNNNNNNNNAAAUUACCCACUCCCGGCACGGGGAGGUAGUGACGAAAAAUAACGAUACGGGACUCAUCCGAGGCCCCGUAAUCGGAAUGAGUACACUCUAAAGACUUUAACGAGUAUCCAUUGGAGGGCAAGUCUGGUGCCAGCAGCCGCGGUAAUUCCAGCUCCAAUAGCGUAUAUUAAAGUUGUUGCGGUUAAAAAGCUCGUAGUCGGACUUGUGUCCCACGCUGCCGGUUCACCGCCCGUCGGUGUUUAACUGGCAUGCACGUGCUGACGUCCUGCCGGUGGCCCGAGCCGGGAGACCGCGGGUGAGGGGAGCGGUAACGUUCUCACACCCCGGGUCGUCUCGGGGAGGSCCUACACAUACCNGUCGCGGUGCUCUUGACCGAGUGUCUCGAUGGGCCGGCACGUUUACUUUGAACAAAUUAGAGUGCUYAAAGCAGGCAGUGUUCGCCUGAAUACCGAGUGCAUGGAAUAAUGGAAUAGGACCUCGGUUCUAUUUUGUUGGUUUUCGGAAUCCCCGAGGUAAUGAUCAAAAGGGACAGACGGGGGCAUUCGUAUUGCGACGUUAGAGGUGAAAUUCUUGGACCGUCGCAAGACGGACAGAAGCGAAAGCAUUUGCCAAGAAUGUUUUCUCUGAUCAAGAACGAAAGUUAGAGGUUCGAAGGCGAUCAGAUACCGCCCUAGUUCUAACCAUAAACGAUGCCAGCCAGCAAUCCGCCGAAGUUCCUCCGAUGACUCGGCGGGCGGCUUCCGGGAAACCAAAGCUUUUGGGUUCCGGGGGAAGUAUGGUUGCAAAGCUGAAACUUAAAGGAAUUGACGGAAGGGCACCACCAGGAGUGGAGCCUGCGGCUUAAUUUGACUCAACACGGGAAACCUCACCAGGCCCAGACACYGGGAGGAUUGACAGAUUGAGAGCUCUUUCUUGAUUCGGUGGGUGGUGGUGCAUGGCCGUUCUUAGUUGGUGGAGCGAUUUGUCUGGUUAAUUUCCGAUAACGAACGAGACUC
rnacentral:rRNA from 1 species